rnacentral:lncRNA from 1 species
UGGGUCUUAGAAAGAAAAAAAAAGGGAGAAAGGGAUUUUUCUCUCUGGGGAAGCCCAGAAACCGGCCAGGAAAGCCACCGCGCCGUCACAGCUCCACCGCGCCGGCCACCGUACACGGUGGCCGGAAAUCGCCUUAGGUAAAAAAAAUUUCUCUCUUUUUUUGUAUUUUAUUAUACGCAUACAUAGAUGAGUGUAAAUCUGAAGAUAAAAAGAAACGAGAAAAUAUUAGAGACCUUGACUUGUUUUGCCGUUGUUCUCUUCUUCUUUCUCUUUUUUGCUAGUAGCGUUUCCGAUUUUAGGGCGUUUAAAUUUCCCCUUUUUGAUGUUUGAUCUAUGCUACUUAUGAGGUUUUAGCUUUUGUAUAUUGGUUGUUGAAAUCUUUUUUUGAGAUUUUUCGAAUUUUACACUGCUCGGUAAAGAGAAAAGAAAAAAAGGCCUGUUUCUCAUCCUUGAUUUUGGCUUUUUAAAGCCGAUCUAUAAACAUUCAUUUCUUUUUUUUGUUUCCGUUCUUUUGUUUAUUCUUUGCCCCAUUCCUCGCAUGCUUCCUUUUGCUGUUGUUUCUGUCUCUGUUGCAGGUGUGUCAGGUGUGGGUGGUGCACGUGAUGGCCAAGGGCAGAGGUAGCAUGGGGCGACCGAUCAGAGGCGUGCAUGCGUGAGGGGAGGUGAAGCGGCGGCAGCUACAAAGCAUGAGACUAGGGUUUUUUGUUUGGUUGAAAACUAGUAUAGUUUGGGCCAUUCGGGCCUCUAAGGUUUUUCAUUAUUGGGCAUUUGGAUUGGGUUUGUUUUUUGGGUUAAUUUUGUUGUAAUGGUCUGUUAAUUCUUUAUUGGUCUUGGUCUAUUUGGGUUUUAUGGUCUGGGCCCGGGCAAAAUUUUGGGCUUUACAACUGCCCCUCUUUGCUCGUUGUCGUGUAACGAAAACAGAGCAAAGACCAAGGAAGACCAAAUUUGCCCGGGCUUGCCGAGCCUUGGCUUCCUUUGGUGCUUUUCUUCUUCAAGUAGCCUCGUUCUGUUCUGCUGUGUCUCGUUGCUUCAAUCCACUUCACUGCGCUCCAGAGAAACAAUGACUUAAAUCUAUUUUGCUGCAACUCCAUGGGGAUGAGAUUUGUUGUUUUCUUCGUCUGCUCCACUACUGCUUAGGGAUAUAAGAUUUGUGCUCUUCAUUCUAUUCCACUGUUGAAUGCAGGGAGCUAGAGUUAUUGGCUUCAAUGUACUCCACUGUAGUCAGGGAGGUAAAAUCCGCCAUCGUCGAUCUGCUUUCUUCGAUCUACUUCACCACCAGUAUGGGAAGACAAGAUCUGCAUCUUCGAUCUACUUCCCACCAAUAUAGGAAGAUAGGAUCUGCUACCUUCGAUCUACUUCACGCCAAUACAUGAAGACAAGAUCUGCUUUCUGCGAUCUAAUUCGCCACCAAUAUGGUAAGACAAGAUAUGCAUCUUCGAUCCACUUCCUACCAAUAUAGGAAGACAAGACCUACUAUAUUUGAUCUACUUCACGCCAAUACAUGAAGACAAGAUCUGCUUUCUGCGAUCUACUUCGCCACCAAUAUGGGAAGACAAGAUCUGCAUCGUCGAUCCACUUCCUACCAAUAUAGGAAGACAAGACCUACUAUCUUUGAUCUACUUCACGCCAAUACAUGAAGACAAGAUCUGCUUUCUGCGAUCUACUUCGCCACCAAUAUGGGAAGACAAGAUCUGCAUCGUCGAUCCACCUCCUACCAAUAUAGGAAGACAAGACCUACUAUCUUUGAUCUACUUCACGCCAAUACAUGAAGACAAGAUCUGCUUUCUGCGAUCUACUUCGCCACCAAUAUGGGAAGACAAGAUCUGCAUCGUCGAUCCACCUCCUACCAAUAUAGGAAGACAAGACCUACUAUCUUUGAUCUACUUCACGCCAAUACAUGAAGACAAGAUCUGCUUUCUGCGAUCUACUUCGCCACCAAUGUGGGAAGACAAGAUCUGCAUCGUCGAUCCACUUCCUACCAAUAUAGGAAGAUAGGAUCUGCUACCUAGUGUUUAGGAUGACAUGAUCAGAAUGAAUCAAAUGCUCCUAACUAGAUGUGUAUGUAUUAUAUUUGUAGAAUGUCAUGAGAAUGAUCCAUUUUUAAUGCUUAGGUUGUCAUUCCUCAUUGUUCAUCAAGGUUCUAUCACUGAUGCCUUCUUGUUCAGCCAGUACCUUUGACAGAAAACCUAAAGAAAUAGAUGCUAUUUAGACUAUCAUUUCUCAAAUGUUUCCAACCCUUAGGUUUGGUUAGUUCUAAACAAUAGUCCUGUUUCAGGUCCUCGUAUUAUUUAGAAACUUUCAGAGUAAUAUGCAGAACUCCUUCUGCAUGUGUAUUGUCAGUCCAUUAAUCGUUAUUUCAAUGAAAAAUGCUUGAAAAAAAUAAUCAAAAUGGACAAAAUGAAAUUUUGUUGAGAGCAAAGCUCUAAACAAACAAAUCAAGAUAGCAAAUUUUGCUGAGAUACGAGAGGAAUAAGAUGAAAACGAUUAUCACAACGGAUAAGAUGAAAAUUUGCUGGGAGCAAAGCUCUAAAUAAACAAAUUAAUCAAGAUAGCAAAUUUUGCUAGAAUACAAAACGAGAAUAAAUUAAUCAAGAUGAUGUAUUUUGUCAAAAAUACAAAAAAUGAAUAAAAUAGAAAUAGGUGCCCCAGAUAUCGUAGCAUGAGCUUCUCUGCCCCAAACUUCUUAAUGACCCUUUUGAACUUGAUAUGUGUUUAGAAGUCCUAGAAGGCUUUGUUGAUGCCCCAAGAUGUAGCAUCUUUCCUUCUUGUUAAUUCGAAGAAGACAAAACUACUUUAUGCCUCAUCUUUGAUCGAAAAUUUGAAUUGCCCAUUCCUGGGUUUUCAAUUCAAAACCCCUUUUGUCUCAAGGUGCCCUUUGCGGGUUUUCGCCUUGGCCUCUCCCUUUUUUUUUUUUUUUUUUUUUAGGCAAAGUACCUCUUUAUUGAAUCCGAAUUCACAGGAUUGGGCAAGCUUUUGCCAUCCAUCCCAGUUAAAAUUAAUGCCCCUCCUGAAAAGGCCUUUUUUACUACAUAAGGUCCCUCCCAGUUUGGCAUCCACUUUCCUUUGAAGUCUUUUUGUAUGGGAAGGAUCUUCUUCAGUACCAAGUCCCCCUCAUGGAAGUUUCUAGGAUGAACUUUCUUAUUGUAAGCUCGCAUCAUUCGUUUCUGGUACAUUUGACCAUGACGGAUAGCUCUUAACCUCUUCUCUUCAAUCAAGUUCAGCUGAUCAUAUCGGGAUUGGACCCAUUCUGCUUCGUCUAACUUUAGUUCUGAAAAAACUCGGAGAGAGGGAAUUUCAACCUCAAUUGGUAGCACUGCCUCCAUUCCAUAAACCAAAGAGAAUGGUGUUGCCCCGGUAGAAGUCCUGACGGACGUUCGAUAAGCAUAGAGGGCGAAUGGCAACUUCUCGUGCCAAUCUCUAUAGGUCUCAGUCAUUUUCCCCACAAUCUUUUUGAUAUUUUUAUUGGCUGCCUCCACCGCACCAUUCAUCUUCGGACGAUAUGGCGAUGAGUUGUGGUGCUUGAUCUUGAAUUGACUACAAACUUCUGCUAUCGUGCUAUUAUUAAAAUUUAAUGCGUUGUCAGAUAUAAUCCUUUCAGGCAUUCCAUACCGACAUAUGAUUUCCUUCUUUAAAAACUUGCUGACAGCUGUCUUUGUGACGUUGGCGUAAGAAGUAGCCUCUACCCACUUAGUAAAGUAGUCAAUCACUACAAAAAUGAAACGAUGUCCGUUUGAAGCCUUUGGCGAUAUCGGCCCAAUGACGUCCAUGCCCCACAUGGAGAAAGGCCAUGGGGAAGUCAUGACGUGAAGAGGUGAUGGAGGCACAUGGAUUUUGUCUCCGUAAAUCUGGCAUUUAUGGCACUUCUUAGCAUAUUUGAUGCAGUCUCCUUCCAUGGUAGACCAAUAAUAUCCAAAUCUCAUGAUUUGUCUGGCCAUUGUGAAACCGUUAGCGUGUGUUCCACAAAUACCAUCAUGGACUUCUUCCAAGAUCUGUUUGGCCUCCACAGCGUCCACACAUCUUAACAGCACCUGAUCUUUUCCUCUUUUGUACAGGAUCUCUCCAUCUAAGACGUAAUCACUGGCCAGCCUCCUCAACAUUCUCUUGUCAUUCUCAGUUGCUUGGUUUGGGUAUUCACGAUUUUUUACGUAUCGCAAUAUAUCCUGAUACCAAGGGUUGUCGUCCUUUUCUUCUUCUUCGUCAAUGUUACAACAGUGGGCUGGAGCAUCAUAAAUGCUCAUUUGGAUAGGCUUCACAUCCUCUGGUCUAUUUACUUUGAUCAUGGAAGCCAAUGUAGCUAAAGCGUCAGCCAUCUGAUUCUCGUCUCGUGGGAGAUAACAAAAAGUGAUGUCGUCAAACUCCUCAAUCAAUUCUAGGACUAUCCUUCGGUAACUAAUCAACUUAGGGUCUCUUGUUUCCCAUUCGCCUUUGAGCUGAUAAAUUACCAAUGCCGAAUCCCCAUAUACCUCAAGUACCUUGAUUUUGCGUUCCAUAGCCGCGCGGAUUCCCAUGAUACAUGCUUCAUAUUCCGCCAUGUUAUUUGUGCAAUCAAAAUCUAGUUUACUGGUGAAAGGAUAAUGAUCACCGUUUGGAGAUACCAAGACUGCCCCAAUCCCGUUGCCCAUGGCAUUUGAGGCUCCGUCAAAAUUUAAUUUCCAAGUAUUGCCUUCUUGUGUGCUUGCUUCAAUAGUUGCCACAUACAUCAGAUCCUCAUUUGGGAAAUCAAAGUUCAAAGGCUCAUAAUCGUCCAGGGCUCUACUUGCUAGAAAAUCUGCUAUCGCGCUCCCUUUUACAGCCUUUUGAUUCACAUAGGUUAUGUCAAAUUCAGAUAGUAGAAUUUGCCAUCGGGCCAUCUUUCCGUUUAGAGUAGUUGACUCCAUCAUGUAUUUCAGAGGAUCUAACUUUGAGAUUAACCAAGUCGUAUGGUACAACAUGUAUUGUCUCAAUCUCCGAGUAGUCCAAACCAAUGCGCAACAUAAUUUUUCAAUUGGCGAAUAUCUAGCUUCGCAUUCAGUGAACUUCUUACUAAGAUAAUAGAUCGCUCUUUCUUUUCAUCCUGACUCAUCAUGUUGGCCGAGCACGUACCCCAUGGAAUUCUCAAAUACUGCCAAGUAUAGUAUCAGUGGUUUGUCAGGGCAAGGAGGCAUCAGUACUGGGGCGUUGGACAAGUAAUGUUUAACUCUUUCGAAAGUUUUCUGGCACUCCUCAUCCCAUACACCUGGAUUGUGUUUCCUAAGAAGACGGAAUAUGGGGUCACAUUUCUCAGUUAAUUGUGAAAUGAAUCGAGCGAUGUAAUUUAGUCUUCCUAAGAAACCCCGAACUUCUUUUUGAGUACUUGGCGGAGGUAAUUCUUGUAUGGCCUUAACUUUGUCUGGGUCAAUUUCAAUUCCCUUUUCGCUGACUAAGAAUCCUAGCAAUUUUCCUGAUCUAGCCCCGAAAGUACACUUGGCUGGGUUAAGUUUUAGCUGGAACUUCCUUAACCUCAGAAACAGUUUUCUCAGAACUUGCACGUAUUCCCUUUCUGUUCUGGAUUUUGCGAUCAUGUCAUCAACAUAAACUUCUAUCUCUUUAUGCAUCAUAUCAUGGAAUAAUGCUACCAUGGCUCUCUGAUACGUUGCUCCCGCAUUUUUCAAUCCAAAAGGCAUCACUUUAUAACAAAACGUCCCCCACAUCGUUAUGAAUAUGGUCUUCUCCCUGUCUUCAGAAAGCAUCUUAAUUUGGUUGUACCCGGAGAAACCAUCCAUGAAAGAGAACAGUGAGUAUCCGGCCGUGUUGUCUACCAAGGUAUCGAUAUGAGGCAGUGGGAAAUUAUCUUUUGGGCUGGCUUUGUUCAAGUCUCUGUAGUCUACACACAUUCGCACCUUCCCAUCUUUCUUAGGAACAGGGACUAUAUUGGCUACCCAUUCUGAGUACUUGACCACCUGUAAGAAACCAGCAUCAAAUUGCUUCUUAACUUCUUCCUUUAUUUUUAGCAAGACGUCAGGCCUCAUCCUUCGGAGCUUUUGUUGGACUGGUUUGCAUUCUUCCUUUAUAGGCAAUCGGUGUACCACGAUAUCAGUACUUAACCCUGGCAUAUCUUGGUAGGACCACGCGAAGACAUCUUUAAACUCUCGAAGCAACUCAACAAGGUCUUGCAUUGUUUCCUUGGCAAUGCAAGCGCCAAUUUUUACCUCUCUGCCCUCUUCUAAGAUCACAACUUCUACUGAUUCCUUAUAGGGUAGAAUUUGUUUUUCUUCUUCUUCCAUCAUUCUUAACAAAUCCGGAGAUGAAACGCUGUCUUGGUCACCUUCAAAAUCUUGAGGAUUAUCUAUACUCAUGUCUUGCUCAAAUAGAGACUCUGAAUUAGUAACAGAGUCGCUCAUCUCGUUGAUAUCUGAAGACCUGUUAUUGGAACAAAUGGAGGCCCAAAUAAAAGAAUCUAAGAAUACUUGUAUGCAUAGUAUGAUUAUAAAGGGAAUGAAAAGAAUGAAAGAAUAUUUGCUCAAGAUGAAACUGAAUGAUAAGUUUUCACUGAAAUUAGAUUUUGGACAUGUGCCUUUUACAAAAGAUUCUUAUCACCCCCAGGCUUAAGGCAACAAGUGUUCUGAAUAUUACUCUGAAUUAGUUCUAAAUGUUACAGGGAUCUCUUCUGCAGUCCAGUUAUUCAGAACACUUCCAGGUUCGUAAGGACGAAUGCCCGAUAAAUUCCUUUCCACCCUUUCUUCCGCGGAUAUGGCAUUGAUGUCCAACAUCUCAAUCCUUCCUUUUGUAACCUCAUCAUUCUCUUCAGGGUGGACAAUUCCCCUUGAAACAAAAGUCUUAGAUAUAUGGGGAAAGGUCAUCGGUCCCCACUUGACUUCUAUCCCGCCCAAAUGUGCUCUUCUCUUUUCUUGCUUUUUCUCCAUCUCUUUCCUCCUUUCCCUCGCAUUAGGCUUAUAUCCCAAACCAUAACGAUCCUGUUUGUUAACUAGGAUCGGUACUCCAACCCUGCCCUGGAGGUAUUUUCCCAAUCCUCUUCCAAGCAAUGCUCCCUUUCCCAUCGUUAGCUGUAAGCUCAUUGACGUAGCUUUGGAUAUCUUAGGUUCUGGGAUUUUGCUCAUCUCGAUGACAAAUGUGGCAUUUACGAAUUCCAAUGAUCGGAAUGAACAUUCUAUCGCUUCACUAUCAGCCUCUAUGUAUGGCAUAUCAUCGGUGACUGAUGCAAUGAUGUCUUCUUCUGCACCUAUAGUCACCAAUCUACCCUCUAUCACCAACUUUAACUUUUGGUGAAGUGAUGAUGGUACAGCUCCUGCAGAAUGGAUCCAAAGCCUCCCCAAUAGGCAAUUGUAAGAUGGUUUAAUAUCCAUUACCAAAAAGUCCACCUCGUAUGUAUUUGGACCAAUCAAUAGAGGUAUCUCGAUUCUCCCCAUCACUUUUCUCUCAGUGCCAUCAAAUGCUCUCACUAUAUUUUGACAUGAUUUCAUGUGAGAACUAUCCACAGGUAACCUGUUUAAUGUGGACAGGGGUAAAACAUUCAGGGCCGAUCCAUUGUCCACGAGUACUGCCGGUAGUAUACACCCCUUGCAACGGGCAGUGAUGUGCAAGGCCUUGGUAGAUCCCAUACCACCUGGCGGGAUCUCAUCAUCGUUGAAGAAGAUGAAAUUAUCGGCAUUUAUAUUGUUAACCAGGCGAUCCAAUUUGUUUACUGAGAUAUCUUUAGCGACAUAGGUCUCAUUUAGCACUUUUACCAACGCAUUACGAUGUAUCUCUGAACUUAGAAGUAACUCGAGCACUGAAAUGCGAGCGGGUUGCUUAUGCAAUUGUUCCACCACGCUAUACUCGCUAUGCUUCAAGAAUUUUAGGAAUUCUCUAGCCUCGUUUUCGGUCACCGGUGUGUUAAUUUGCGGUUCAAUUCCGGUCGUCUUCGUUUUAUUUUGUUCAACCGCCAAGGCUUUUCCUUUUAUAAGUUCCCUUUUUGUAUUUCCCAGGUCGUAACGUUUUCCACUACGCGUAUAGAAACCUGCGUCAUUAGCCUCUUCUGAAGCAUUUAUCGGGUUCUCCUCUCCCGUGAUCAUCACAUUGCAGUCGUAAUUCCAAGGAACCUUUUUGCUAUCCUUGUAAGGAAAGGCUACAGGUUUUUGGAUUAUGACCCUUGGCGCCAGUUGUAUUCUAGAUCCUGUACUCGUUGGCCUUGAAAUAAUUACCACUGGGUGAUUUGGGGCCUUUCCCGUAGGCCCCUCCUCCGAGGCAUAAACUUCUCCAUUUUCAAGUCCUUUGAUCUCUUCAUAAAAUUCUAGCUCUUUGUUGUCCAUCAGAUUUUGCACCAUGGCCUUGAAUUCAGUGCAGUUUCGAAUGUCAUGGUCUUCUUCAGCAUGAAACUCGCAGUACGUCUUCGUUCCUUCGGGCCUUUCUUUUGAAUCUUGUUUGAUGAGACCUCCUUCUAUCAUUUGUCUCCAGACCCAACUCAAUGGGGUUUUUAUCUCUGCAAUGUCGGUUUUGAUUCUUUUUUUCUCACCUUCGAUUAUUGCGAUUACCCCUUUAUCAGCAUGGUUGGGUAACGGAUUCGCUGCUACGUUGGGUCCUAAUGGGUCGUCAAACUUCACAAUCCCCAUCUUAAUGAACCUUUCCACCGCCUUUUUAAACCCAGUACAGUUCUCAAUUGAGUGUCCUGGUAUCCCUGCAUGGUAUUCACAUUGGGCAUUCGUGUCAUACCAUUUGGGAUAUGGAGGUUGCAUGGGCUCGAGAUAAAAUGGAGAUACUAUGUGUGCAUCAAAUAACUUCUGAUACAGUUCCCCGUAUGUUAUUGGAAUGGGCGUGAAUUGAAGUCUCUCUGUGUUGGCCCUUGUGUUGGGCCUUGUGUUGGGUUCCUGCCUCGAGGGGGCUUGGUGACUAGUGGUUAUCAUUUUUGGAGGGCCAACAGUAAUCGGUUUUGAAUGGCUCUUGCUAUAUGUGCUUACGUUGUUUACUUCGCCCUCUUUUUUCCUUGGGGCUGGUCUUUUGAAGUUUUCCCCCGUGUCAAUUUUACCGCUCCUUACCGUGUUCUCAAUCAUUUCACCAGACAUUACCAUGUCCGAGAAGCUCUUGGUAGCACUCCCCAACAUGUGGUUGAUGAACGGGGCUUUCAAAGUGUUGAUAAACAACAUGGUGACCUCUUUUUCCAAAAGGGGUGGCUGGACUUGUGUUGCCACUUCUCUCCAUCGUUGGGCGUACUGCCUGAAAUUCUCGCUAGGCUUUUUCUCCAUGUUUUGUAACGUAAUUCGAUCGGGUGUUAUAUCCGUUACAUGACUGUACUGCUUCAUAAAAGCUUGCGCCAAGUCUCUCCAUGAACUAACUUUAGCACGACUCAGUUGGUUGUACCAUUUGGCUGCAGAUCCGAUCAAACUGUCCUGGAAGCAGUGGAUUAAUAGCUGAUCGUUGUUGACGUAUCCUGUCAUUCUUCGACAGAACAUAGUUAUAUGAGCUUCAGGACAACUAGUUCCAUUAUAUUUUUCGAAUUCCGGCAUUUUGAAUUUAGGUGGGAGUACUAAAUCAGGGACCAAACUCAGAUCCUUGGCGUCAACCCCGCGAUGAUAGUCGAUGUUCUCCAUGACUCUAAAUUUUUCCUCUAACCAUCUACAUCGGUCCUCUAGUUGUUUUGGCAGGUUCGUUCUUGUUUUUUCUGUUUCUGCCACGUCAUCGAGGUCCGGGACCACAGGAUUAGUGGGAUUAUCCCCGGGAUUAGAACCCGAGCCCAUUUGAAAAUGUAAUGGUACCGAGGCACCAGCCAGAUAUUGAGGUCUAAUGGUAACCGGUACCCUCUGUGGGUACACCUCUGGUUGUGCUUGGAUGUUAGUUGGGGUGAAACCUGGAGGAUAAACAGGGUCAUCGUGAUCUUCCCCAGCAUCAACUACGGGGUCUUUUCCUUUGUUAUUUCCUCCAGCCAAUAACUGCUUUAAUUGGUUCAUCACAGUGUUCUGGGAUUCUAACAUGUCCUGCUGGAUUUUUUCCAGUCGUUCAUGCAUCUGAUCUUGCAUCUCUCGUUGCAACUGUUCCAAUCUUUCCAACCUUUGAUCCAUUGCUUUUGUUUGGCGACGAGUACCGUAGUGAUAUUUGAUUAGAUUUUUGUUGGUUUCCAGGGUAACUGAAAUAAUUUUACCUAGUUAGGGUCAUUUUAUGAGAUGUAAUGCAAAUGUAUGAGAUGAAUGCAAAAAAGAGGCAUUGAUUCGAAUUCAAUUUCAUUAGAAAACUCAACUAGAAAGCAAAUUUCUUUACAUAAAAUAAAUUACAUAUACGGCUUCGCCUUUAUACCCAAAGCCUUAACCUUCCUAAGAAGCCAAGCUAAAUCUCGACCUCGGCUUGAUUCUGACUCAUAUUUUAAACUCAAUACAUCGGCCUGAACUGCUAAUGUUUGCAGAUGAUCAGCCACUUCCCGCGCUUGAGUCACAGCUUCGCCCAUAACGUAAUCUCUAUCUCUAAUCUGCCUUUGAGAAUGAUGGAAUUGCUCUUGCCAUUGAUCAUUACUCCUCUCAAGAAGCUCCAUUCGUAGCUCAGAAUUGUGUAAUGCGUCCUCAAGCUCCUCUACCUUUCCUUUCAGUUCUUCGAUCUUAUUUAAGCUUGCUCUUAAUUCGAUCAUGGAGUUGCGACUACGGUACGAGUGAAGUGACUUUUCUAGCUCUGCCACCUUGGCCUUUAAUCCUGCCUUCUCAUUUCGGCACUCUAACAAACUCCUUUCCAAAGCGUUUUCUCGAGCUCGAGCAUCUUGAAAUUUAUUUUCCCACUGAUUGGCCCUAUUCUUUUCCUCAUUGAUCUCUUGUCGCCACUGCUCUGAUGUUUUACCCAGACCGACAGUUCUCAUCGACAAUCGCAGCUUCUUGUAAUCUGUUUUUAGACUAUCCAAAUCCUCUUCAGCUUUGUUCUUUCCCUUCCUUAAUUUCUCAGCUUCUAGCUUGUGGAUAUCGAUGUCUAAUCCCAAAUGCACUCUUUCUUCUUCUAACUGUUCUAUCCUCUUUCCCAACUCAGAAUUUCUUUUCUCAAAGUCUCGUUUGAUGAUCUCUAAUUCUGACGGAACUACUUGUAGAUGCUCUUCUAUAGACUGAACGCAAUCUUCCCUCGGCUUAGGGAUGUUGUCAUUGACUCUUUUACUCCACCACCCAUAAUAUUCUGAAGUUGCCAUCGCUCCUACGGUAAAUCUUUUCAUUCGGUGAACCUGUUUCCAAGCGUUAGAUAUUUCUCGAGUUUUUCUCUUGUAGUUUUCAUCUUUAUAAGAAAACUCACAUUGAGCCAGCCCUUGUGUUGCUGGUAUGAACUGUCUCGAUCUAUAUUGUCUUAAUACGAGUAAAGGGGCAUAACCGACAGCUCCCUAAAUUCCGAGUAAAGGGACCCAGUCGAAAUCCCCACAUCGAUACAGGAUCUCGUCGGGUACCAUCCAAGGAGCUUUCCAUUCAACGUCAUCCUCCUGAAGAUUUUGGAGAAUCGUCAUCCACUUCUCUUCCGUGAUGUCGUCUCGUCUUGGUGUAGCAACUUGUUCCUUCAAUGGGGAAUAGUCUUCUGAGAAGACUCGAUAGGAGACAUUUUCCACCUUUCAAAAGUGACUAUGGAACCACACCAAUAGUAGCUGUGCGCAUCCGAUGAACCUUCCCUCCCCUGCUCUUCGACAUGCACUUAGAGAUCUGAAGGUUUCUGCUAAGAUUGCCGGGAUGGGCGUGACUCCUUUACUAAGCCGAUCGAACAAAUCAGAGACGGCCUCAUCUACGUGCCCUAAAGCUCUAGGGAAAAUUACCAAUCCAUAGAUACCUAGAGCGAAGACAUCCACUCUUUUCUUCACAUCAGGGUGUGCUAAUACUAAAUCUCGCAAGCUUUUCCAAGGAACGCAUUUACUGUCUCCUUUCUGUUGGAUUCGGGCAGCGACCCACUGUUCGCUCAUCCCUGUAAUGCUCAUCAAUUUUUUUAAUAAUGUCGGGACGCUAGCAGCUCUAGAAUAGGCUUUGUCAAUUUGAAUCUUUGGACACCGAAGCAGGGUCGUAUAUUCUUCCAUGGUGGGAACCAAGUCCACUUUUCCAAAAGUGAAACAACUGUAAGCAGGAUUCCAAAACUGGGCUAGGGCUCGGAAUAAAUGCUUGUCCACUUUGAUACCAAGUAGGUAAGGCAAGUCCCCGUAGUCACAGUAAAACAUCUGCUUGGUCCCGUCGUCCCAUUGAUCCCAUAUUUCCUUCAUUUCUCGAAGAUCAUUUUGGAUUACGCUGAUACGGGUGAAGUCCCAUAACUCUGAUACGUACCCUUCUGCAAGACUAUCGCCUUUCUCUCUCCACAUCGUCUCAGCCCAUAAUCGUACAGCUGCAUUGUCUUCUACUUUAUCAAGAAACCUCUUUUCCAUGAUAAGCUUUCUAUCUAUACUGAACGUGAAUCGACACCUCUUUUGAAAUGAAAAUGCCAUGCAAUCACAAACAAAGCAAAUUAGAUCUAGGAUUUAAAGUAAACAAUAAUAAAUAAAGCAUCUAUUCGGUAAGCACUAGGGUCUGGAAUAGCUCUAUCUCGGUGGGUUCUUAUUGCUCGCUAUGUGUGGUUUGGUUCUAAAGUAAGGGUACCUGAACCAGCAGAUUCCUCGAUCCUCACCCAUUAUAGGCUCAUAUGGACCGAGUUCAGUUCAGGGGAAUACAUUUCCCUAUGGCCAUGCGGAGAUAAAAAUCUCACGAAGACAUAGGUACGGAUGUAUCCCGGAAGCGAUUCACUAUCCCAUGCGGAGGUGAAAACCUCACGAAGGCGUAGUUUCUCACUCCCACUUAAAAGGUGUGACCAGCGGUCAUGCAAUGCAAUGUGCAGAGGUAUAAAAUAAAAUACAGAACACGAUAAAAAAUAUAACUCAAAACAAAAGAGAUGCAAUGAGAGGAUCGUAAAUUUAAAUCGAAUUUUCCACUUUCAGCAAAAAGACAAGAAAUAAUCAACACGUGGCUUGACUCUCUUAUUGUCCCCAGCGGAGUCGCCAAGCUGUUGACACCAUUUUUUGGAUGAAAACGGGGUCGACUUGGAUUAAAAAAAGAAUGAAAACGGGAGUCGCCACCGAUCCCUUUUGAUGAGGUGUGAUCGGGUCACCUUGAAAAGUGGUUGUUUUUAAUAAACGAUUUAAUUUUUAUUAAAACAAAGAUUUUGGUCUAUGAAAUUUAAAAAACGGGUUCGGGAGUCGGUUACGCACGAGGAAGGAUUAGCACCCUCGAUACGCCCAAAAUUGGUACCUAGUUGAUUAAUUAGUGUCUUAGUGUCGAAAAUUGAAAAUUUGAAGAGUUUUAAAAAUACGAUCCUUAAAAGAAAACUCUGAUAACGUGAAUUGAAAUAUAAGAUUCUCUUGUUCCGAAGGAAUAUCACAUCCAGCACAUUAGGACACGAUACUCUAAACCAUCGAAACCAAGAUCACCUUAUAGUUUAAUGAAACCAUAUUUUGAAGCUUUAAGAGGAUAUUUGGCUGUUUAGUCGAACGAGAAAUCGAAACCCAGCACGUUAGGGCACGUUUCCUCGAUUUUCCAAACGCGAAAUAUUGCCUUAUUUAAAAGUUUAAAAAGGAUAUUUGGCUAUUUGGUCGAACGAGAAAUCGAAACCCAGCACGUUAGGGCACGUUUUCUCGAUUUUCCAAACGCGAAAUAUUGCCUUAUUUAGAAAAAUUUUCCUUUUGAUGUUUGGUGUUAAUGCUUGACGAAACAAUAACGAAUACGACAAGGUAAGCAAAGUAAAGUGAGUAACAACAAUGCAAUAGGCAAAAUGAAAUGACGAGGCGAUUACAUAAACAAAGCAUACAAAUAAAUAAAUAGAACUAACGUUUUAGAAAAAGCACAAGUGUACAUGGAUAAAUAAACAAACACCAAAUAACAAUGAUGACAAUGAAUACAAUUAUGUAAAAUAUAUAUAUGUGCAUGUAUAAUUUAAAACCAUAAAAUAAGAAAUAUGUAUAAAUUACAGAAUAUGAAAACAUAGAUAAGUAUGUACAUAUAUAUAAAAUCGGUAAAUAUUAUAAAAAAUGUAAAUGUGUAUUUAUAUAUUUACAAAUCGUGAUAAUAUAGAAUAUAUGUAUGUGGAUUAUAAAAUAUGUGAAAUAUACAAAAAACAUUUUUAAGAGUAUAAAAUAUAUAAGUAUGUAUAUGAUGUAAAAUAUGCAUAAAUAUAUGUAAGUAUAUAAGAAUUAUGAAAUGUGAAAAAAUAUAUUUAAGUAGGUAUAAGUACGUAUAUCUACAUAUAUAUGUAAAAAAUAUAAUAUUAAAAAGAAGGGUAUAUAUAUAUGCGUAAUAUAUAUAAAUACAUAUAUAAUGUAAUGUUAAAAUAUUCACAUAAUAUAUAUAAUAAUAAUGUUGAAAACAUCUAUUAAUAAUAAAUAUAUACUUAUAUGUAUUAAAGAUAUAUUCAUAAAUACGAAAACAUAGGUAAAUAUAUACAUAAGAUGGUAUAGAAAUAUGUACAUGGAAAUGUAUAAGAACUAUAUCUAACUACUAUAUGUAAAAUAUAUUAAAAUAGAGACAUAAUAUACGUAGAUAAAUAUAUAUAAAACAAAUAUGUGUAAUAUAAUUUUAGGAUAUACGCGUAAAUGUAUAUAUAUUUAAAGAAUGCAUUGGUGAUAUACAAAUAUACUAACAAAAUAAUGAUAUUAAACCCUUAAUAAUACUACAUAACAUAUACAGGUUAGUAUUAAGUAGAAUAACAACAAUAAAAUACUAAAAAUAUAAUAAUAGUAACGUUAAUAAGAUAUAUUAGUAUGAAUAAUAUUGAAAUUAAAAUAAAUAAUGAUGAGAAGUAAAAGGGAUGAAAAUCGAAAUAAAAAAAAGGCUAGGGGGAAUUUUAAAAGAAAUAUAUAAAAGAGAAGGACCAAUUGGAACACGCUAAAACACGGGAAGGAUUAAAACUGCAAAUAUCCUGUCCUCUCGAAACGCAGCGUUUAGUGGGGAUCGAAAUAAAAAAUGCGCUUGAAUUUUAUGCCAAUUUAAAAAGAAUGAAAACCUGAUCGCAAAAGUUUAGAAAAGCGGAAGGGUCAUUCGCGCAAUUAGACCCUUCCGCAAAAACACGCGGAUCCUCCUCGUGGGUCAGGUCGGGUCGGUCCGACCCAGGGCAAAACGACGUCGUUUUAUCCCCUGGGUCAGUUUCGCAAAACGUCGCCGUUUUAUUAACAGUAUAAAAGUUAGAUUUCCUUUCUUGUUUUCAUUUUAGCUGGGUCUUAGAAAGAAAAAAAAAGGGAGAAAGGGAUUUUUCUCUCUGGGGAAGCCCAGAAACCGGUCAGGAAAGCCACCGCGCCGUCACAGCUCCACCGCGUCGGCCACCGUACACGGUGGCCGGAAAUCGCCUUAGGUAAAAAAAAUUUCUCUCUUUUUUUGUAUUUUAUUAUACGCAUACAUAGAUGAGUGUAAAUCUGAAGAUAAAAAGAAACGAGAAAAUAUUAGAGACCUUGACUUGUUUUGCCGUUGUUCUCUUCUUCUUUCUCUUUUUUGCUAGUAGCGUUUCCGAUUUUAGGGCGUUUAAAUUUCCCCUUUUUGAUGUUUGAUCUAUGCUACUUAUGAGGUUUUAGCUUUUGUAUAUUGGUUGUUGAAAUCUUUUUUUGAGAUUUUUCGAAUUUUACACUGCUCGGUAAAGAGAAAAGAAAAAAAGGCCUGUUUCUCAUCCUUGAUUUUGGCUUUUUAAAGCCGAUCUAUAAACAUUCAUUUCUUUUUUUGUUUCCGUUCUUUUGUUUAUUCUUUGCCCCAUUCCUCGCAUGCUUCCUUUUGCUGUUGUUUCUGUCUCUGUUGCAGGUGUGUCAGGUGUGGGUGGUGCACGUGAUGGCCAAGGGCAGAGGUAGCAUGGGGCGACCGAUCAGAGGCGUGCAUGCGUGAGGGGAGGUGAAGCGGCGGCAGCUACAAAGCAUGAGACUAGGGUUUUUUGUUUGGUUGAAAACUAGUAUAGUUUGGGCCAUUCGGGCCUCUAAGGUUUUUCAUUAUUGGGCAUUUGGAUUGGGUUUGUUUUUUGGGUUAAUUUUGUUGUAAUGGUCUGUUAAUUCUUUAUUGGUCUUGGUCUAUUUGGGUUUUAUGGUCUGGGCCCGGGCAAAAUUUUGGGCUUUACAUGGGACUUGAAACCAAGACCUCACACACGCACCCAAAACAUUUAGCCAUUAAAGCAGACACUCAUUUUUGUGCUAAGAUUUACAGAAACAGAAAUAAAUUAUUCAGGGCAUUACACAUACAAUGAAUAAGUUUGGUGGAAAUUGUACAUAAGUAUGUUGGUCUUACGACUCCAAUAAUUUAAAAGGUAAAUUACAUCUAAGGUC